UACGAACGCUGGCGGCAUGCCUAACACAUGCAAGUCGAACGGGAUCCAUCCUUCGGGGUGGUGAGAGUGGCGGACGGGUGAGUAACGCGUGGGAACCUGCCCAGUGGUGGGGGAUAACUGCGGGAAACUGCAGCUAAUACCGCAUGAGCCCGAGAGGGGAAAGAUUUAUCGCCAUUGGAGGGGCCCGCGUUCGAUUAGGUAGUUGGUGGGGUAAUGGCCUACCAAGCCGACGAUCGAUAGCUGGUCUGAGAGGAUGAUCAGCCACACUGGGACUGAGAUACGGCCCAGACUCCUACGGGAGGCAGCAGUGGGGAAUAUUGGACAAUGGGGGCAACCCUGAUCCAGCAAUGCCGCGUGAGUGAUGAAGGCCUUAGGGUUGUAAAGCUCUUUUGCCAGGGACGAUGAUGACGGUACCUGGAGAAUAAGCCCCGGCUAACUUCGUGCCAGCAGCCGCGGUAAUACGAAGGGGGCAAGCGUUGUUCGGAAUUACUGGGCGUAAAGGGCGC
rnacentral:rRNA from 1 species